UGGUGCCCAUAGUUGGGGCUCCUAAAAAAGGUGAGUUGUCUCGCUGUGGUUUAGUGUCAGAGGCUGAUUCAGCUGAUGUAACAUCCACCGUGGGUAUGUUGGGACGUAUUAUUUUCCUUCUCUGUCGCCGUGGUUGUGUGCCAGUAAGCCAUUUGUAGACACGGUGCUUUUGGUAAUCUUAAAAGACACUUUGGAUUUUUGAAUUUAACAAGAUCGCUUUUGUAUUUUAGCAAUUUCUCUUUAAGUUUAUCUUACAGUUUGAUGCCAUCUGGAGAUGACAAUAUGAUG